GUGCUUGCUUUGGUAGCACAUAUACUAAAUUGGAAUGAUACAGAGAAGAUUAGAAUGAUCCUACACAAGGCUGACAUACAAAUUCAUGAAGCAUUCCAUAUUUUU